CAGGCUUAACACAUGCAAGUCGAGGGGUAGAAGUUUUCGGACUUUGAGACCGGCGCACGGGUGCGUAACGCGUAUGCAAUCUACCUUUUACAGAGGGAUAGCCCAGAGAAAUUUGGAUUAAUACCUCAUAGUAUUAUGAAAUGGCAUCAUUUUAUAAUUAAAGUUCCAACGGUAAAAGAUGAGCAUGCGUCCCAUUAGCUAGUUGGUGUGGUAACGGCACACCAAGGCAAUGAUGGGUAGGGGUCCUGAGAGGGAGAUCCCCCACACUGGUACUGAGACACGGACCAGACUCCUACGGGAGGCAGCAGUGAGGAAUAUUGGACAAUGGGCGCAAGCCUGAUCCAGCCAUGCCGCGUGCAGGAUGACGGUCCUAUGGAUUGUAAACUGCUUUUAUACGGGAAGAAACCCUGGCUCGUGAGCCAGAUUGACGGUACCGUAGGAAUAAGGAUCGGCUAACUCCGUGCCAGCAGCCGCGGUAAUACGGAGGAUCCAAGCGUUAUCCGGAAUCAUUGGGUUUAAAGGGUCCGUAGGCGGUUUUAUAAGUCAGUGGUGAAAUCCGGUAGCUCAACUAUCGAACUGCCAUUGAUACUGUAGAACUUGAAUUGCUGUGAAGUAACUAGAAUAUGUAGUGUAGCGGUGAAAUGCUUAGAUAUUACAUGGAAUACCAAUUGCGAAGGCAGGUUACUAACAUCAUAUUGACGCUGAUGGACGAAAGCGUGGGGAGCGAACAGGAUUAGAUACCCUGGUAGUCCACGCCGUAAACGAUGGAUACUAGCUGUU
rnacentral:rRNA from 1 species